CAGCCGCCGCGGGAAUAUGAAGGGGGCUAGCGUUGCUCGGAAUGACUGGGCGUAAAGGGCGCGUAGGCGGCGAUCAAAGUCAGGCGUGAAAUUCCUGGGCUCAACCCAUAGCCUGCAGGCGAAACUGUCGGGCUUGAGUGUGUCAGAGGAUGGUGGAAUUCCCGGUGUAGCGGUGAAAUGCGUAGAGAUCGGGAGGAACAUCAGUGGCGAAGGCGGCCAUCUGGGACAACACUGACGCUGAGGCACGAAAGCGUGGGGAGCAAACAGGAUUAGAUACCCCUGUAGUCCCUGUCUCUUAUAC
rnacentral:rRNA from 1 species